UACGGGGGGGGCAAGCGUUGUUCGGAAUUACUGGGCGUAAAGGGCGCGUAGGCGGCUCUUCAAGUCAGCCGUGAAAUCUCUAGGCUUAACCUAGAAAAGUCGGUUGAUACUGUCGAGCUAGAGUGUGGAAGAGGCAACUGGAAUUCCGUGUGUAGCGGUGAAAUGCGUAGAUAUACGGAGGAACACCUGCGGCGAAGGCGGGUUGCUGGGCCAACACUGACGCUGAAGUGCGAAAGCUAGGGUAGCAAACGGG
rnacentral:rRNA from 1 species